GGAAACACAAUUGGAAUUAGGUUAUUUUGGUUUAUGUAUUCAAAUUAAUUUUCUGAUUAGUUACUUGGGUUAAAAGUGUGCACAUUCCAUUUUUGGCCUGUAAACUCACCUUCUCAAAUGACAAAAAGCAUCAUACAGUUCAAUAAUCUAGACACUUGGAUGAUGUUGGUAUUCAUCUUGGACACAAAGCUGAACAUUUUGAAUGUAAUAGUUGGCUUGCUUUUUAGUUAAUAUCACCUUAUGUGUAUUAUUCUAUUUUUACAUGGAAAAUAAUAGUACGCUUUUGUAUUA
rnacentral:misc_RNA from 1 species